rnacentral:rRNA from 1 species
AGGUGUGGAUAGGGGAGAAAUUCCAAUCGAACCCGGAGAUAGCUGGUUCUCCUCGAAAUAGCUUUAGGGCUAGCCUCAUGCAAGUCUUACGGAGGUAGAGCACUGAAUUCCUAAGGGGGCGUCAAAGCUUACCAAGGGAUAUCAAACUCCGAAUGCCGUGUAGAUGGUGCAUGGGAGUCAGACUAUCCGAGAUAAGUUGGGUAGUCAAAAGGGAAAGAGCCCAGACCUACAGCUAAGGUCCCAAAAUGUGUGUUAAGUGGAAAAGGAUGUGGGAUUUCGAAGACAACUAGGAUGUUGGCUUAGAAGCAGCCAUCCAUUAAAAGAGUGCGUAAUAGCUCACUAGUCGAGAGGUCCUGCGCCGAAAAUGUCCGGGGCUGAAACACACUACCGAAGCUUGGGAAUUGACGAAUGUUAAUUGGUAGAGGAGCAUUCUUAACGGGGCGAAGCUGUACCGGAAGGAGCAGUGGACUGUUAAGAAGAGAGAAUGCCGGAAUGAGUAGCGAGAGGAAGGUGAGAAUCCUUCCGGCCGAAUAUCUAAGGUUUCCAGAGUAAAGCUGAUCUGCUCUGGGUAAGUCGGGGCCUAAGGCGAGGUCGAAAGACGUAGUCGAUGGAUAACAGGUAAAGAUUCCUGUACUGUAUCAUAACAGAACUGUGGGGACGCAGACAGAGAGCAUAAGCCGGGAAUGGAAAGACCGGUACAAGCGAGGUAGGAGUGCAUCAGGCAAAUCCGGUGCACAAUCUGAAGACGUGAUGUGGGGCGUAAAGCCGGAAGUAUGUGAGCUGGCUGCCAAGAAAAGCCGCUAUUGUUUAUGAUAUACCCGUACCGUAAACCGACACAGGUGGAUGAGGAGAGAAUCCUAAGGCCGACGGGAGAAGCAUUGUUAAGGAACUCGGCAAAAUGACUCCGUAACUUCGGGAGAAGGAGUGCCAUGUAAAAGUGGCCGCAGAGAAUUGGCCCAAGCAACUGUUUAGCAAAAACACAGGUCUAUGCAAAACCGAAAGGUGAGGUAUAUGGGCUGACGCCUGCCCGGUGCUGGAAGGUUAAGAGGAGAUGUUAGAGCAAUCGAAGCAUUGAAUUUAAGCCCCAGUAAACGGCGGCCGUAACUAUAACGGUCCUAAGGUAGCGAAAUUCCUUGUCGGGUAAGUUC